AAAAGUCGUAACAAGGUUUCCGUAGGUGAACCUGCGGAAGGAUCAUUAUCAAAAGUCAAGUCGGGGGCUGCAAAGCCUUCGUCUACACCCAUGUCUUUUGCGCACUUUUUGUUUCCUGGGCGAGUUCGCUCGCCACCAGGGACCCCCAUAUAAACCUUUUUGUUUAUGCAAUCAGCGUCAGUACAAUAAUGAAUUUAUUAAAACUUUCAACAACGGAUCUCUUGGUUCUG
rnacentral:misc_RNA from 1 species